CCCUUAGACGUUCUGGGCCGCACGCGCGCUACACUGACGGAGCCAGCGAGUAUAAACCUUGGCCGAGAGGUCUGGGAAAUCUUGUGAAACUCCGUCGUGCUGGGGAUAGAGCAUUGUAAUUAUUGCUCUUCAACGAGGAAUUCCUAGUAAGCGCAAGUCAUCAGCUUGCGUUGAUUACGUCCCUGCCCUUUGUACACACCGCCCGUCGUUGCUACCGAUUGGUUUACUGAUAGAACCAUUUGGAGCGGACCCUCUCGUUCUUCGGUUCGUCUGGGGCUGCAAAAUCUGGUGAUAUUUGUAAACUAGAGGAAGCAAAAGUCGUAACA
rnacentral:rRNA from 1 species